rnacentral:ncRNA from 3 species
GGAUGCGAUCAUACCAGCACUAAAGCACCG